CUUGAUCUCACUAUCCCCAUUCCUUCCGGUGGACCCUAGCCCACCAGAAUCACUACCGGCGUACGUUCCCCCCGUCCCAGCCCCUAUCCCUUUCCUUGCCCCUGCUCCUGUGCCUGUUGUUGCCCCUUCUCCAAUGUAUAACCCUGUUACUGCCCCUGCACUGUCCCCGUUGGAGACACUGUACACAAAAGGCAGUGAUCAGGGUAGUGACCCCCUGGACCAGGUGCUGAUUGAGGACUUGGGUCCUGAUGAGAAGGAAGACAUCCCUCCAUCUCAAAACAACCAGGGCACUGAUCAAGGUUCAAGUGAGGAGCUGUCUGUCAAAGUGCCUG